UGGCUGAGCGGUAAAGCGCUUGGCUUCCGAACAGGGGCCCCGGGUUCGGAUCCUGG
rnacentral:tRNA from 1 species